rnacentral:lncRNA from 1 species
UGUAAGGAACAAAACAUUUUAUAAAGGAAAAACUUCAAAUACCACUCUUGCGAUUUCGCACUUUCUCAUUUUAGUUUUCUAUGAUUUAAAGUGUAUCAAUUUAGUGUCUUGUGGUUUUAUUUUUAUUUUUUUAUUAUCGAUUCCACUAAUUUUUGUAUUAAAUCGAUGAUAAAGUUAAAACUAAAGGGGACCAAAGCGAAUAUUCCAUAAACCUAAGUUAGAUAUCUGAAAUUUUUUGUAUAUACUUUAAUAAAAUAUUAACAAAAAAACUGAUAAAAAGAUAAAAGUGAAAAUAAAGGAUACUAAUUUAAUAAACUUUAAAUUAUAUAAUAUUAAAAUAAAAAAGUGGGAAACCAGGGGUGG